rnacentral:rRNA from 1 species
CUGGGGGCUCGUGCGCACUCUGUUUACACAUCCACUCACACCUGUGCGCCCUUUGUAGUUCUAUGGCCUUGGGGACCCCGUCCCCUUGCUGUGGUCCUACGUCUUUACACACACACCGUAACAAAGUCUCAUGGAAUGUAUGUCGCGUUUAACGCAAUACAAUACAACUUUCAGCAACGGAUCUCUUGGCUCUCGCAUCGAUGAAGAACGCAGCGAAAUGCGAUAAGUAAUGUGAAUCGCAGAAUUCAGUGAAUCAUCGAAUCUUUGAACGCACCUUGCGCCCUUUGGCUAUUCCGAAGGGCAUGCCUGUUUGAGUAUCAUGAACACCUCAACUCUCGUGGNCCGCCAUGAUGAGCUUGGACUUUGGGGGUCUUGCCGGCCUAGUGUCGGCUCCUCUCAAAUGGAUCAGCUUGCCAGUGUUUGGUGGCGUCACAGGUGUGAUAACUAUCUACGCUUGUGGUUCUACGCCAUGUAACCUUCAGUGAUGGAGGUUCGCUGGAGCUCACAGAUGUCUCUCCUGGGAGGACAGCUCUUUGAACGUUCGAUCUCAAAUCAAGUAGGACUACCCGCUGAACUUAAGCAUAUCAAU